GUCCCUUCGGGGAUAUCCGAUAAAAUUGGAACAAUACAGAGAAGAUUAGCAUGAUCC
rnacentral:snRNA from 3 species